rnacentral:rRNA from 1 species
UAGAGUUUGAUCAUGGCUCAGAUUGAACGCUGGCGGCAUGCCUUACACAUGCAAGUCGAACGGCAGCACGGACUUCGGUCUGGUGGCGAGUGGCGAACGGGUGAGUAAUGUAUCGGAACGUACCUUUCAGUGGGGGAUAACGUAGCGAAAGUUACGCUAAUACCGCAUAUUCUGUGAGCAGGAAAGCAGGGGAUCGCAUGACCUUGCGCUGAUUGAGCGGCCGAUAUCAGAUUAGCUAGUUGGUGAGGUAAAGGCUCACCAAGGCGACGAUCUGUAGCGGGUCUGAGAGGAUGAUCCGCCACACUGGAACUGAGACACGGUCCAGACUCCUACGGGAGGCAGCAGUGGGGAAUUUUGGACAAUGGGGGCAACCCUGAUCCAGCCAUGCCGCGUGAGCGAAGAAGGCCUUCGGGUUGUAAAGCUCUUUCGGCCGGGAAGAAAUCGCAUGGGUUAAUACCCUGUGUGGAUGACGGUACCGGAAUAAGAAGCACCGGCUAACUACGUGCCAGCAGCCGCGGUAAUACGUAGGGUGCGAGCGUUAAUCGGAAUUACUGGGCGUAAAGCGUGCGCAGGCGGUUUAGUAAGACAGGCGUGAAAUCCCCGGGCUCAACCUGGGAACUGCGCUUGUGACUGCUAAGCUAGAGUACGGCAGAGGGGGGUGGAAUUCCACGUGUAGCAGUGAAAUGCGCAGAGAUGUGGAGGAACACCGAUGGCGAAGGCAGCCCCCUGGGCCGAUACUGACGCUCAUGCACGAAAGCGUGGGUAGCAAACAGGAUUAGAUACCCUGGUAGUNNNCGCCCUANNNNNNNUCAACUAG